AAACUCAAAGGAAUUGACGGGGAGCACCACAACCGGUGGAGCCUGCGGUUUAAUCGGACUCAACGCCGGGAAACUCACCAGAUAAGACAGCUGAAUGAUAGUCGGGCUGAAGACUUUGCCGGAUUAGCUGAGAGGUGGUGCAUGGCCGUCGUCAGUUCGUACUGUGAAGCAUCCUGUUAAGUCAGGCAACGAGCGAGACCCACGCCCACAGUUGCCAGCGUACUCUCCGGAGUGACGGGUACACUGUGGGGACCGCCGCUGCUAAAGCGGAGGAAGGAAUGGGCAACGGUAGGUCAGUAUGCCCCGAAUAUCCCGGGCUACACGCGAGCUACAAUGGUUGGUACAAUGGGUAUCUACCCCGAAAGGGGAUGGAAAUCUCCUAAAGCCAAUCUUAGUCCGGAUUGAGGGCUGCAACUCGCCCUCAUGAAGCUGGAAUCCGUAGUAAUCGCGUUUCAACAGAACGCGGUGAAUACGUCCCUGCUCCUU
rnacentral:rRNA from 1 species